rnacentral:rRNA from 1 species
CAGUAGCCGCGGUAAUACGAGGGGGGCAAGCGUUGUUCGGAAUUAUUGGGCGUAGAGGGUGCGUAGGCGGUUUGACAAGUCUUAUGUGAAAUCUUCGGGCUCAACCCGAAGUCUGCAUGAGAAACUGUCGAGCUUGAGUACGGGAGAGGUGAGUGGAAUUUCCGGUGUAGCGGUGAAAUGCGUAGAUAUCGGAAGGAACACCUGUGGCGAAAGCGGCUCACUGGACCAUAACUGACGCUGAGGCACGAAAGCUAGGGGAGCAAACAGGAUUAGAUACCCCUGUAGUCCCUGUCUCUUAUAC